AGGGAGUCAGGCCGACGUAAGUCGCCACCGGAUGCUGAGUAGACGGUGCUGCCUGCGCCUCAGCCCCAGGAGGACUGGGU
rfam:Japanese encephalitis virus strain XZ0934, complete genome